rnacentral:tRNA from 1 species
AGUAGCGCAGCCGAGUUGUGCUAAGGCACUGGUUUAAAGCCCCAGUCUCUUCGGAGGUGUGGGUUCGAAUCCCACCGCUGCCA